UAAUAAUUCGAAUCACGUGACAUUUCUCUUCAAGCCGCCGUCUACAACAGGAAGAAGAAAGGAUUUCAUAUUGUAAGAAGAAAAUAAAACAGAAACAAAAUGUACCAAAACCACAGCAGAGGAGGACAACGACGUCAGUAUCCACGUGCAGAACAGGACCCAGAAGCUGAACAGUUCAGAAAAAUCUUCAUUGGAGGUUUAAGUUAUGAGACAACAGAAGAAGGCUUGAAAGAGCAUUUUGGGAAAUGGGGCGAGAUCACUGACUGUGUUGUAAUGAAAGAUCCUAACACUAAAAGGUCAAGAGGCUUCGGGUUCAUCACUUACAAGUACGCAUCGGAAGUGGAUUUGUCCCAAGAAAACCGACCUCACAAGAUUAACACCAGAGAUGUAGAGACAAAAAGGGCAAUGCCAAGGGAGUUUAACGAACCACAGGAGUCGACAAAGAAGAUGUUCAUUGGUGGUCUGAAGGAUGACACUUCGGAAGACCAAGUGAAGGAAGCCUUCUGUACUUAUGGAGAUAUUGAACGAGUUGAUCUCAUUCGGGAUAAGGAAAGUAACAAAGUCAAAGGAUUCGGCUUCGUAGAAUUCCAGGAUACUGACUCAGUUGACAAAUGUGUUCUAAAGAAAUUCUUCACACUGAAUGGAAAAGAAGUGGAGGUAAAAAAAGCUGUUGCUAAGGAAAAUCAACGGGGUGGAGACUCUGGCCGCGGGGGACGUGGUGGGGGACGAGGAGGUAGAGGUGGUGGAGGUCGUGGAUUCAAUGACUGGAACCAAGGUGGCUACAACCAGGGUGGUUACAAUCAGGGUGGUUACAAUCAGGGAAAUUACGGAAACAGUUAUGGAAACCAAGGAGGUGGUGGUGGUGGAUAUGGAAACGGGUACGGUAACCAAGGCGGAGGAGGAGGAGGAUGGAACCAGAACAGUGGUGCUGGCGGUGGAGGUUACGACAACUACAGUGGGGGAUAUGCUGGUGGAUACAACAACAGUGGUGGAUACAACAGACGAUGAAGUCAUCCAAGAUCAUCAAUAGGUGUACUUCUCAGAAUGGAAAUUCAAACCACAAGUGUUUGGUGGAAGGUGUAAGCCUGGAUAUUGACGUUAAACCGGUGUGACCUUUUACUGGGUAACAGCUGGAUCAACAAGGGUCAGCUAACUAGGAUGUGGAAACAACCAGGAGACUGGACAGUACAAAGUAGCCUUGCUGCACCCGAUAUCCAUCUCUCAAUGGGCUGUGAUCGAGUAAAAGAGGUUGAAUCAAGAUCAAGCUUGAACUAAGGUGAUGCUGUUUUCUAUGACAGUGGGACAGAAAUUCACUCUGGUAAUCUGACAUGGGACUGAUGUGUUGGUACAGACAAUGGUGUAAAGCAUUCCAAUAGUGAUCAAUGAUUUGUGAAUUACGGUGCAAAAAAACUGAAGUGAAGUGACACAGUUGUAAAAAACUGAAGUGACACAGUUGUGCUUACUUGACUUCGUAGAUAUCGUUUGUGGACAAUGGAGUCAAAGGCAUUGAAACCCAUCUUGUGAAUUUUAUUGUAGUGUAUACCCAACAAAUAAAAUUGUGUUGAAAUUCG
rnacentral:misc_RNA from 1 species